CCCAGACUCCUACGGGAGGCAGCAGUGGGGAAUAUUGCACAAUGGGGGAAACCCUGAUGCAGCAACGCCGCGUGAGUGAAGAAGUAUUUCGGUAUGUAAAGCUCUAUCAGCAGGGAAGAAGAAAGACGGUACCUGACUAAGAAGCCCCGGCUAACUACGUGCCAGCAGCCGCGGUAAUACGUAGGGGGCAAGCGUUAUCCGGAUUUACUGGGUGUAAAGGGGGCGCAGACGGCAGCGCAAGCCAGGAGUGAAAGCCCGGGGCCCAACCCCGGGACUGCUCUUGGAACUGCGCGGCUGGAGUGCAGGAGGGGCAGGCGGAAUUCCUGGUGUAGCGGUGAAAUGCGUAGAUAUCAGGAGGAACACCGGUGGCGAAGGCGGCCUGCUGGACUGCGACUGACGUUGAGGCCCGAAAGCGUGGGGAGCAAACAGGAUUAGAUACCCGGGUACA
rnacentral:rRNA from 1 species